AUUGAACGCUGGCGGCAUGCCUUACACAUGCAAGUCGAACGGCAGCAUGGAGAGCUUGCUCUCUGAUGGCGAGUGGCGAACGGGUGAGUAAAGCAUCGGAACGUACCGUGUAGUGGGGGAUAACGUAGCGAAAGUUACGCUAAUACCGCAUACGCACUGAGGUGGAAAGCAGGGGAUCGUAAGACCUUGCGCUAUACGAGCGGCCGAUGUCAGAUUAGCUAGUUGGUAGGGUAAAGGCCUACCAAGGCGACGAUCUGUAGCGGGUCUGAGAGGAUGAUCCGCCACACUGGGACUGAGACACGGCCCAGACUCCUACGGGAGGCAGCAGUGGGGAAUUUUGGACAAUGGGGGCAACCCUGAUCCAGCCAUGCCGCGUGAGUGAAGAAGGCCUUCGGGUUGUAAAGCUCCUUCGGCCGGGAAGAAAUCGCACAGGCUAAUACCCUGUGUGGAUGACGGUACCUGAAGAAUAAGCACCGGCUAACUACGUGCCAGCAGCCGCGGUAA
rnacentral:rRNA from 1 species